AAGUCGUAACAAGGUUUCCGUAGGUGAACCUGCGGAAGGAUCAUUAGUGAAUUAAACAUGCUUGGUGUCUUCGCUUCGGCAAGGCCCUUGCUUAAAUCACAUCCUGACACCUGUGAACUGUAAGACGUAUGAUGAGGUCUUUGGCCAAGUCAUCGUCUGCCCAUUUUUAACAAACAAUUAAUGUAACAAACGUAGUCUUAUUAUAACCUAAUAAAACUUUCAACAACGGAUCUCUUGGCUCUC
rnacentral:misc_RNA from 1 species